rnacentral:rRNA from 1 species
AGUGAACGCUGGCGGUAGGCCUAACACAUGCAAGUCGAACGGCAGCACAGUAAGAGCUUGCUCUUACGGGUGGCGAGUGGCGGACGGGUGAGGAAUACAUCGGAAUCUACUUUUUCGUGGGGGAUAACGUAGGGAAACUUACGCUAAUACCGCAUACGACCUACGGGUGAAAGCAGGGGAUCUUCGGACCUUGCGCGAUUGAAUGAGCCGAUGUCGGAUUAGCUAGUUGGCGGGGUAAAGGCCCACCAAGGCGACGAUCCGUAGCUGGUCUGAGAGUAUGAUCAGCCACACUGGAACUGAGACACGGUCCAGACUCCUACGGGAGGCAGCAGUGGGGAAUAUUGGACAAUGGGCGCAAGCCUGAUCCAGCCAUACCGCGUGGGUGAAGAAGGCCUUCGGGUUGUAAAGCCCUUUUGUUGGGAAAGAAAAGCAGCAGGUUAAUACCCCGCUGUUCUGACGGUACCCAAAGAAUAAGCACCGGCUAACCUCGUG